GGCGGCGGCGGUCACGCUUCCUGUAGCCAAGAGGGCGCCGGAUCUGCCGGAAGUCGAUCUGAUUAGCUCUCUCCCCGGUGAGAUCCUCAGCAUAAUCAUAUCCCUCCUCCCCAUUGACUCCGCCGUGUGCACCACAUCCCUCUCCCUCCGCUGGCGCCCCCUAUGGCGCUUCUCCCCGCUCAACCUCGACAUUUCCCACAUCGACGGGGCCGGCCGCGCCCGCGCCGCCGCCGUGUCCAAGAUCCUCUACGACCACCCUGGCCCCGCGCGCCGCUUCCUGACCGCCUGCCUCCAGAUCACCGACCCCGACGGCUGGCUCGGCUCCCCCGCUCUCUGAGAUCUCCAGGAGAUCGACCUCUGGCUCCCUCGAUACGAAAUUCCGAUGCCUCUGUCCGUUCUCCGCUUCGCGACGACCCUGCGCGUGGCUAGCUUCGGCAACUGCAGGUUCUUUGAGUAGGACGCCCCACCGUCGUUUAACUUCCCUUGCCUUGAGAAGCUUACCAUGAGAUUUAUCUUCGUACUGGAAGACACCCUCCAUGGCUUGCUCGAUGGCUGCCCUGUCCUCGAGAGCUUGCUGCUGGACAGGUGCUACGGCUUCUACUACCUGGUCAUCAAUUCACCAACUCUUAAGAGAAUCGGCACAAAGGACGGUCUGCAUGACUGUCAACUAGUCAUAGAAAAUGCCCCCAGACUAGAAAAAAUUGAUCAGAACUGAUCUUCAUCCAGAGUCAACCAUCUGCCUAAUCAAGGCACCGAAACUUGAGAUCUUUGGCUUCAUGACAGACGAGACGACUUUACUAAACUCAAGCUUGGGUCUGCAAUUUCUGAGGGAUUGGUUGCUGGCAACUUGAAAGCUCUGAUGCGCAGCGUCAAGGUUUUGCAUCUCACGUCUAGUGGCCCUAAUCUUGAUGCCGCUAUAGUCUUCCUCAAAAAAAUUCCUUGCUUGGAGAAGCUCUACAUCACGUCAUGUCCUGGAAAUGAUAUGGAGAAAGUGCAUCAUCUUCAACCACAAGAUCCUAUUGAACGCCUCGAUCAUCUCAGAGAAGUAGAGUUGAAGUUUUAUAUUGGCAGCAGAACGGAUGUCAACUUUGCCAAGUUCUUUCUUCUGAAUGGUAAAGUGCUCGAGUUAAUGAGGUUUGGUGUCAAGGACCAAUAUACUGAGGAAUGGGUAGCUGAUCAACACAGCCAGCUACAUGUUGAUAGCAGGCCUUCUCCAAAUGCUCAACUUGAAUUUACAGCUGCUGAUGUUGGCAACCUUUUGACCAUAUUCUGUUCUUGACGGAUCCCUCCAGUGGCCUUGUGGACAUUGUGGACAAGGUUGACUAGAUUGUUGUGCCCCGUCAGGUUUUGUGGCAAUGUCUCGUCACUGCAAAACUGGAACAUGGUACUUUGUGACUUAUGUGUAAUGCUUUAGAGAUUGUCAUGCAACUAUUUUACUACUUGUCAUGUUAUUGUGAUGUGGCAUGUCUUGGCAUUCUAAAUUGCGAAUGAUUGCAAGCUAGUUGUUCAUUUUGAUUCAGCAAUUAAUGUAUGGCUUUCAAAUCUUGCAUUGUUUGGAGGAAAAAGACUAUUUGGUUCUUCCAAAAAAUAACUAGCAAGUAAGCUUAAUGAAGGACAGUUCUGUCUCAUAGUCCUUUUCUGUGAGGAGCAUAGCCUAUGCUUUCAGUAACAAGGUGAAGGAGUAAAAGUUAACAUAGUUUGCCAAAAAUGAUAGGAUGUUUGUUCUUAAAAUCCCUAUUUGCUCCCUAGUGUUUUGGGAUAUCAAAUUGACUGUUUGAGGGUACUGUAGCAAUACUUGGCUCGUGAUGCACAAAGGAAAGGCCUCAUGGGAUGAAUGUUGGUUGAUAUAUUUAUUAGUCCAGCUUACUUGCAAAGUUAAUCUCCUUUUUUUAUUUGAAGAAGUAU